UUUUUUCUCAGACGGCGAUGGUGGAUUCCACACGAGGUAAAAAAUACCGAGUAAAGCCAAAUAUACAGUUCCUAGCAACAUUGUUCAAUAGUUGGCCUGGGAUAGACUACAAAAUCGCAUCACGCAACUUGGUAAAUAUAUUCACUUAUCCAACGGUGUCACAUUACAUGUGUUUCUAAUGGUUGUCCUUUUGAAGGUUUUUCUCCCUUAUGCAUCCGCGGGUCACUUUAACUUGUUCUCCAUCGAUAAGCAUGAAUGUACUGUGUCUGUUAUUGAUCCUUGGUCCAUGCCGCCAUCAUCGGAGGGUAAAAUGGUUCGAUCGCAUAAGAUGAAAUUGAUCUUACAAAGAAUUGCAAUCUACCUAACCGACGCACUUUCAUUGGCACAACCUGGUUGGGAUGCCGAUAUAUUUUUCUGGCCACGCACGUCGCCAACUGAUAUUCCGCAAAGUUCAAGCAUGAAAGCUUCUGGUUAUUUCAUUUUUUAUAUUAUGUUCUCAUGGAAUGGUAAAAAGUUGGUUCAUCCAAUAUGCACGAAUAUUAUCAACCUGAGGAAGAAUUUUUUGGUACGCUUGCUCAAGUACCAUCAAAAUGAAGCACUCGAAAAUAUUCCAUACAUUGUACGACAUACUCUAAGGAGUAUCGAGGAGGACAUUUUUUAAAUAUAAAAUAGUUAAUUAGUGGAGUACUUAUUGCAUAUUCAAACGAUGUCAAAUAUAUGGUUGUUAAAUAUAUUUCAGAC